rnacentral:rRNA from 1 species
GAUGAACGCUGGCGGCGUGCCUAAUACAUGCAAGUAGAACGCUGAAGGAGGAGCUUGCUCUUCUGGAUGAGUUGCGAACGGGUGAGUAACGCGUAGGUAACCUGCCUGGUAGCGGGGGAUAACUAUUGGAAACGAUAGCUAAUACCGCAUGACAACAGUUAUUGCAUGAUAACUGUUUAAAAGGGGCAACUGCUCCACUACCAGAUGGCCCUGCGUUGUAUUAGCUAGUUGGUGAGGUAACGGCUCACCAAGGCGACGAUACAUAGCCGACCUGAGAGGGUGAUCGGCCACACUGGGACUGAGACACGGCCCAGACUCCUACGGGAGGCAGCAGGAGGGAAUCUUCGGCAAUGGACGGAAGUCUGACCGAGCAACGCCGCGUGAGUGAAGAAGGUUUUCGGAUCGUAAAGCUCUGUUGUAAGAGAAGAACGAGUGUGAGAGUGGAAAGUUCACACUGUGACGGUAUCUUACCAGAAAGGGACGGCUAACUACGUG